ensembl:lncRNA
CACACAUAAAAUACCUUAAACCCACUUCCUACACUAACUUGUUUGUCAUCUCUGUUUUCAGUCAGUCUAUAGCGGUGUGUUUGAGAGAUGGCUUGAGCACGCCAGAUGAUCUCUCCAUCCCUGUAAGCACACACACCCUCAUCAUUAUCCCCCAACUCUGGGUAACCAUCAAAAUCAUGAACAUCAAGGCUAUGAAUCAGCACCACGUACAUGACCUCCUGCUUGUAGAUUACAGUCUCAUAAACUCUAAGGACAGGGUGUGCUCCUCCACAGAACUGUGUGCUGUACUCUUUCAUAACAUCAGCCAGUGAGAAAGUGAACCGGAAGUUUCCAUAGCGAGAGCCAUCCUUAAACACAGGAGAGGUGGUGAAUUUCCGCAGGAAAGGCUCCUGUCGCUCUCUCUCUUCUCCACUCCGACCAGGGAAGAGUUUCUCCAGGUACCUCUCCUCUGCAGUAGUGAUCUCGCUUUCACCAAUCACUGUCCCCCACCACAAGAGGCCAGGACUCCUAUCCCCUCCUCUAAACCCUUUGAGGUCCAGAAUCCCUUCCAUACCAUCUGUAGUCGUGACGUGAGAUACUCUUGAACAAUGGAAUUCUACAGGUCGAGGAUAAUGUGGAACUUUGCCCUUAGGUGGUUUAUUUGGUUCAGCCACAUUUCUACCAAUGUACCCGUUGCGGUGUUUCAUGACGUUUUUCUUCUUCAGAUCAUCUAUAGCCAUGUGUUCCCCACGUACAUAAUGUUCAUCGA